rnacentral:rRNA from 1 species
GAUGAACGCUGGCGGCGUGCCUAAUACAUGCAAGUCGAGCGAAGCGGGGACGGGUGAGUAAAACGUGGAUAACAUCCUAUACGAAGGGGAUAAAUUAGGGAAAACGGGGCUAAACCGGAAACUUAUAGAUGAAUGCGUGAGGCAUUAGCUAGUUGGUAAGGUAACGGCUUACCAAGGAAACGAUGCAUAGCCGGCCUGAGAGGGUGAUCGGCCACACUGGAACUGAGACACGGUCCAGACCCCUACGGGAGGCAGCAGUAGGGAAUCUUCCGCAAUGGGCGAAAGCCUGAUGCAGCAACGCCGCGUGAGUGAUGAAGGUCUUCGGAUCGUAAAACUCUGUUAGUAGGGAAGCGGUACCUAAUCAGAAAGCCACGGCUAACUACGUGCCAGCAGCCGCGGUAAUUC